rnacentral:rRNA from 1 species
AGCGAACGCUGGCGGCAGGCCUAACACAUGCAAGUCGAACGAACCUUUCGGGGUUAGUGGCGGACGGGUGAGUAACACGUGGGAACGUGCCUUUAGGUUCGGAAUAACUCAGGGAAACUUGUGCUAAUACCGAAUGUGCCCUUCGGGGGAAAGAUUUAUCGCCUUUAGAGCGGCCCGCGUCUGAUUAGCUAGUUGGUUGAGGUAAUGGCUCACCAAGGCGACGAUCAGUAGCUGGUCUGAGAGGAUGAUCAGCCACAUUGGGACUGAGACACGGCCCAAACUCCUACGGGAGGCAGCAGUGGGGAAUCUUGCGCAAUGGGCGAAAGCCUGACGCAGCCAUGCCGCGUGAAUGAUGAAGGUCUUAGGAUUGUAAUAUUCUUUCACCGGGGACGAUAAUGACGGUACCCGGAGAAGAAGCCCCGGCUAACUUCGUG